rnacentral:rRNA from 1 species
GACGAACGCUGGCGGCGUGCCUAAUACAUGCAAGUUGAGCGAUGAAGAUUGGUGCUUGCCCCAAUUUGAAGAGCAGCGAACGGGUGAGUAACGCGUGGGGAAUCUGCCUUUGAGCGGGGGACAACAUUUGGAAACGAAUGCUAAUACCGCAUAAUAACUUUAAACAUAAGUUUUAAGUUUGAAAGAUGCAAUUGCAUCACUCAAAGAUGAUCCCGCGCUGUAUUAGCUAGUUGGUGAGGUAAAGGCUCACCAAGGCGAUGAUACAUAGCCGACCUGAGAGGGUGAUCGGCCACAUUGGGACUGAGACACGGCCCAAACUCCUACGGGAGGCAGCAGUAGGGAAUCUUCGGCAAUGGACGAAAGUCUGACCGAGCAACGCCGCGGGAGUGAAGAAGGUUUUCGGAUCGUAAAACUCUGUUGGUAGAGAAGAACGUUGGUGAGAGUGGAAAGCUCAUCAAGUGACGGUAACUACCCAGAAAGGGACGGCUAACUACGUG